AUUGAACGCUGGCGGCAGGCUUAACACAUGCAAGUCGAGCGGGGUGAUGGUGCUUGCACUAUCACUUAGCGGCGGACGGGUGAGUAAUGCUUAGGAAUCUGCCUAUUAGUGGGGGACAACAUCUCGAAAGGGAUGCUAAUACCGCAUACGUCCUACGGGAGAAAGCAGGGGAUCACUUGUGACCUUGCGCUAAUAGAUGAGCCUAAGUCGGAUUAGCUAGUUGGUGGGGUAAAGGCAUACCAAGGCGACGAGCUGUAGCGGGUCUGAGAGGAUGAUCCGCCAGACUGGGACUGAGACACGGCCCAGACUCCUACGGGAGGCAGCAGUGGGGAAUAUUGGACAAUGGGGGGAACCCUGAUCCAGCCAUGCCGCGUGUGUGAAGAAGGCCUUAUGGUUGUAAAGCACUUUAAGCGAGGAGGAGGCUCUUUUGGUUAAUACCCAAGAUGAGUGGACGUUACUCGCAGAAUAAGCACCGGCUAACUCUGUGCCAGCAGCCGCCGUAA
rnacentral:rRNA from 1 species